rnacentral:rRNA from 1 species
AUGUAAAGCAACAGCUGAUUGCACCAACUAAUAGUUGAUGCAAGAUUGACUAUGUCAAAUAAAAUUCUGGGUAGAACUAUGAUAAUGACAUAAUCUACCCAAGUCUUGACCAAUUUGCGUGCCAGCAGUCGCGGUAAUACGUAUAAGGCUAGUGUUAUUCAUAUUUAUUGGGUUUAAAGGGUACUUAGACGGUAGAUAAAGCCUUGCCAGGUACUAAUUUACUAGAGUUACUUACGAGGGGGUAUUAAAGUACUGCAGGUUUAGAGAUGAAAUUCUAUCAUACCUCUUUUCAAUAGAAAAAUUAUGGCACAGGUAUAGGUGAAAACAUCCCCUUAUGUGAUAACUGACGUUGAAGAACGAAGGCUUUGUGUCGCGAACAGGAUUAGAUACCCUAGUAGUCAAAGCAGAAAAUGAUGAAUGCCAUAGAUUAGAUAAAUAGUUUAUUCUAUAAAUGAAAGUGUAAGCAUUCCACCUCAAGAGUAAUUUGGCAACAUUGGAACUGAAAUCAUUAGACCGUUUCUGAAACCAGUAGUGAAGUAUGUCGUUUAAUUUGAUAAUCCGCAAAAAACCUUACCAUACGAAUAUG